AUAGAUUUAUUUUUACGUCGGUCCCGGGACAUGCAUGCAUUAAUUUUUUUGUUUCUAUAUUUUAUACUAACUUAUUUUCAAGUGUUUUUAAUUUGUAGGUAAAGCUUAUGUGGAGACGAGGGGAUCCGCAAAAAUCCUUCGAUCUCGAUUUCAAAUCCAAGGUAAGUGAUUUUAAUACUAUUUUUUUGUUUCCUAUACAUAUAUACUAAUAUCUAUUUUAAAUCUUUUUAGAUGCAUACGAGAGGGAGUGGCCGGAUGAUCGGACGACCGAAUACAUCAUAGGGAGUAAUCCGUCCCUUUCCUUUUACAUUUAUGCAUUUUAUUCAAUUUAGCAUUAUGCAUAUAGAAAUAGAUUUAUUUUUACAUCGGUCCCGGGACAUGCAUGCAUUAAUUUUUUUGUUUCUAUAUUUUAUACUAACUUAUUUUCAAGUGUUUUUAAUUUGUAGGUAAAGCUUAUGUGGAGACGAGGGGAUCCGCAAAGAUCCUUCGAUCUCGAUUUCAAAUCCAAGGUAGGUGAUUUUAAUACUAUUUUUUUGUUUCCUAUACAUAUAUACUAAUAUCUAUUUUAAAUCUUUUUAGAUGCAUACGAGAGGGAGUGGCCGG